rfam:Bombyx mori DNA, contig: Bm_scaf42_contig24042, strain: p50T/Dazao, build 2, whole genome shotgun sequence.
UUAACUCAAAUUUGUAUGAAGUUGGAACGUUUGCCUAUGUUUGGCGCUAGGGGCGCUGUUCCAACUGCAUACAAUUAGAGUUG